UACGUAGGUGGCGAGCGUUAUCCGGAUUUACUGGGUGUAAAGGGCGUGUAGGUGGCUCUGCAAGUCAGAUGUGAAAUUUCCGGGCUUAACCCGGACGGGUCAUCUGAAACUGCAGGACUUGAGUACUGGAGAGGAUAGCGGAAUUCCUAGUGUAGCGGUAAAAUGCGUAGAUAUUAGGAGGAACACCGGUGGCGAAGGCGGCUAUCUGGACUGUAACUGACACUGAGGCACGAAAGCGUGGGGAGCAAACAGGAUUAGAUACCCUGGUAGU
rnacentral:rRNA from 1 species